CACGCCCUAAACGAUGUCAACUGGUUGUUGGGUCUUCACUGACUCAGUAACGAAGCUAACGCGUGAAGUUGACCGCCUGGGGAGUACGGCCGCAAGGUUAAAACUCAAAGGAAUUGACGGGGACCCGCACAAGCGGUGGAUGAUGUGGUUUAAUUCGAUGCAACGCGAAAAACCUUACCCACCUUUGACAUGUACGGAAGGUCGCAGAGACGCGAUUGUGCUCGAAAGAGAACCGUAACACAGGUGC
rnacentral:rRNA from 1 species